rnacentral:rRNA from 1 species
GCUGGCGGCGUGGAUAAGACAUGCAAGUCGAACGCUGAUUAGGAGGUAGCAAUAUCUUCUAGUCGGAGUGGCGAACGGGUGCGUAACACGUGGGUAAUUUGCCGUGAAGUUGGGGAUAACUCCGAGAAAUCGGAGCUAAUACCGGAUGUGACUGCCAAAGGGCAUCCUUUGACAGUUAAAGUUGGGGACCCCGUAAGGCCUGACGCUUAAUGAUAAGCCCGCGGCCUAUCAGCUAGUUGGUGAGGUAACAGCUCACCAAGGCUAAGACGGGUAGCUGGUCUGAGAGGACGACCAGCCACACUGGAACUGAGACACGGUCCAGACGCCUACGGGUGGCAGCAGUCGAGAAUCUUUCACAAUGGGCGAAAGCCUGAUGGAGCGACGCCGCGUGGGGGAUGAAGGGCUUCGGUCUGUAAACCCCUGUCAUUCGUGAACAAACCUCCGGUUUGAAUAGGAUCGGAGCUGAUAGUAGCGAAAGAGGAAGGGACGGCUAACUCCGUGCCAGCAGCCGCGGUAAUACGGAGGUCCCAAGCGUUGUUCGGAUUCACUGGGCGUAAAGGGUGCGUAGGCGGUUAGGUAAGUUCGACGUGAAAGCUCCGGGCUCAACCCGGAAAUGGCAUUGAAAACUACCUAACUUGAGGGUCGGAAGGGAGACUGGAAUUCCCGGUGUAGCAGUGAAAUGCGUAGAUAUCGGGAGGAACACCAGUGGCGAAGGCGAGUCUCUGGACGACACCUGACGCUAAGGCACGAAAGCUAGGGGAGCAAACAGGAUUAGAUACCCUGGUAGUCCUAGCCGUAAACGGUGUGCACUUGCUGUGGGCGGAUUCGACCCCGUCCGUGGCGUAGCUAACGCGAUAAGUGCACCGCCUGGGGAGUACGGUCGCAAGAUUAAAACUCAAAGAAAUUGACGGGGGCCCGCACAAGCGGUGGAGUAUGUGGCUUAAUUCGAUGCAACGCGAAGAACCUUACCUGGCCUUGACAUGCAAGUGGUAGAAACCUGAAAGGGCGACGACCUAGCAAUAGGAGCUUGCACAGGUGCUGCAUGGCUGUCGUCAGCUCGUGUCGUGAGAUGUUGGGUUAAGUCCCGCAACGAGCGCAACCCCUAUGUUCUGUUGCCACUCCCAACGAGAGUUCGGAGCACUCUGGACAGACUGCCUUGCUUAAACGAGGAGGAAGGUGGGGAUGACGUCAAGUCAGUAUGGCCCUUACGGCCAGGGCUGCACACGUACUACAAUGCCCGGCAC